AUUGAACGCUGGCGGCAGGCCUAACACAUGCAAGUCGAACGGCAGCGGGGGGUAGCUUGCUACCCCGCCGGCGAGUGGCGGACGGGUGAGUAAUGCCUGGGGAGCUGCCCAAUCGAGGGGGAUACCAGUUGGAAACGACUGCUAAUACCGCAUACGCCCUGAGGGGGAAAGGUGGGGAUCUUCGGACCUACCGCGAUUGGAUGCACCCAGGUGGGAUUAGCUAGUUGGUGAGGUAACGGCUCACCAAGGCGACGAUCUCUAGCUGGUCUGAGAGGAUGACCAGCCACACUGGAACUGAGACACGGUCCAGACUCCUACGGGAGGCAGCAGUGGGGAAUAUUGCACAAUGGGGGAAACCCUGAUGCAGCCAUGCCGCGUGUGUGAAGAAGGCCUUCGGGUUGUAAAGCACUUUCAGCGAGGAGGAAAGGAGGAUAGCUAAUACCUAUUCUCUGUGACGUUACUCGCAGAAGAAGCACCGGCUAACUCCGUGCCAGCCGCCGCAGUAAAAC
rnacentral:rRNA from 1 species